rnacentral:lncRNA from 1 species
GCUAUAUGUGAAGGAAUGAUGUGAAUGAGUUUUAUGUGAAGCUAUAUGUGAAGGUAUGAUGUGAAUGAAGAUAAUGUGAUCAUGUUAUGAAUGUAAAGGUGUUGUUGUAGGUUGUUCACUGAUUUGGUUGCAUAAUUACUACCCUAUUUUCCAUGCUCUUUGAUUCCAUUACAUGCCUUCAAGGUGUUUGACAAAAUGUCCAACUAUGGAGAAUUGAUGAAUCGAUGC